rnacentral:rRNA from 1 species
GACGAACGCUGGCGGCGUGCUUAACACAUGCCAGUCGAACGGAAAGGCCCUUCGGGGUCCUCGAGUGGCGAACGGGUGAGUAACACGUGGGUGAUCUUCCCUGCACUUUGGGAUAAGCCUGGGAAACUGGGUCUAAUACCGAAUAGGACCACGCGCUUCAUGGUGUGUGGGGGAAAGCUUUUGCGGUGUGGGAUGGGCCCGCGGCCUAUCAGCUUGUUGGUGGGGUAAUGGCCUACCAAGGUGACGACGGGUAGCCGGCCUGAGAGGGUGACCGGCCACACUGGGACUGAGAUACGGCCCAGACUCCUACGGGAGGCAGCAGUGGGGAAUAUUGCACAAUGGGCGCAAGCCUGAUGCAGCGACGCCGCGCGAGGGAUGACGGCCUUCGGGUUGUAAACCUCUUUCAAUAGGGACGAAGCGCAAGUGACGGUACCUAGAGAAGAAGCACCGGCUAACUACGUG